UACAGAGGGUGCAAGCGUUAAUCGGAAUUACUGGGCGUAAAGCGUGCGUAGACGGUUACAUAAGUCGGGUGUGAAAGCCCCGGGCUCAACCUGGGAAUUGCAUUCGAGAAUGCGUAGCUAGGGUGCGGAAGAGGGAAGCGGAAUUUCCGGUGUAGCGGUGAAAUGCGUAGAUAUCGGAAGGAACACCAGUGGCGAAAGCGGCUUCCUGGUCCAGCACCGACGUUCAGGCACGAAAGCGUGGGGAGCAAACAGG
rnacentral:rRNA from 1 species